GUCGAGCGAGAAGACGUAGCAAUACGUUUGUAAAGCGGCGAACGGGUGAGGAAUACAUGGGUAACCAACCCUAGAGUGGGGAAUAACUAGCCGAAAGGUUAGCUAAUACCGCGUACGCUCCCUGGACUUCGGUUCAGGGGGGAAAGCGCUACCGAGGGUAGCGCGCUCUUGGAUGGGCUCAUGUCCUAUCAGCUUGUUGGUGAGGUAACGGCUCACCAAGGCUUCGACGGGUAGCUGGUCUGAGAGGACGAUCAGCCACACUGGCACUGCGACACGGGCCAGACUCCUACGGGAGGCAGCAGUAAGGAAUAUUGCGCAAUGGGCGAAGGCCUGACGCAGCGACGCCGCGUGGGGGAUGAAGGUCUUCGGAUUGUAAACCCCUUUCGGGAGGGAAGAUGGAGUGGGGUAACCCACUCGGACGGUACCUCCAGAAGCAGCCACGGCUAACUUCGUGCCAGCAGCCGCGGUAAUACGAAGGUGGCAAGCGUUAUUCGGAUUUACUGGGCGUACAGGGAGCGUAGGCGGUUCGGUAAGCCCUCUGUGAAAUCUUCAGGCUUAACCUGGAAAAGUCGGAGGGGACUGCCGGGCUAGAGGAUGGGAGAGGAGCGCGGAAUUCCCGGUGUAGCGGUGAAAUGCGUAGAGAUCGGGAGGAAGGCCGGUGGCGAAGGCGGCGCUCUGGAACGUUUCUGACGCUGAGGCU
rnacentral:rRNA from 1 species